rnacentral:rRNA from 1 species
UCCUACGGGAGGCAGCAGUGGGGAAUCUUGCACAAUGGAGGAAACUCUGAUGCAGCGAUGCCGCGUGAGUGAAGAAGGCCCUUGGGUUGUAAAGCUCUUUCGUCGGGGAAGAAAAUGACUGUACCCGAAUAAGGAUCGGCUAACUCCGUGCCAGCAGCCGCGGUAAU